rnacentral:rRNA from 1 species
AGUGAACGCUGGCGGUAGGCCUAACACAUGCAAGUCGAACGGCAGCACAGUAAGAGCUUGCUCUUACGGGUGGCGAGUGGCGGACGGGUGAGGAAUACAUCGGAAUCUACUUUUUCGUGGGGGAUAACGUAGGGAAACUUACGCUAAUACCGCAUACGACCUACGGGUGAAAGCAGGGGAUCUUCGGACCUUGCGCGAUUGAAUGAGCCGAUGUCGGAUUAGCUAGUUGGCGGGGUAAAGGCCCACCAAGGCGACGAUCCGUAGCUGGUCUGAGAGGAUGAUCAGCCACACUGGAACUGAGACACGGUCCAGACUCCUACGGUAGGCAGCAGUGGGGAAUAUUGGGCAAUGGGCGCAAGCCUGCUCCAGCCAUACCACGUGGGUGAAGAAGACCUUCGGGUUGUAAAGCCCUUUUGUUGGGAAAGAAAAGCAGCAGGUUAAUACGCCGCUGUUCUGACGGUACCCAAAGAAUAAGCACCGGCUAACUUCGUG